rnacentral:rRNA from 1 species
GUGGGGAAUAUUGGACAAUGGGCGCAAGCCUGAUCCAGCCAUGCCGCGUGAGUGAUGAAGGCCUUAGGGUUGUAAAGCUCUUUCAGUGGGGACGAUAAUGACGGUACCCACAGAAGAAGCCCCGGCUAACUUCGUGCCAGCAGCCGCGGUAAUACGAAGGGGGCUAGCGUUGUUCGGAUUUACUGGGCGUAAAGCGCACGUAGGCGGAUUGGUCAGUUAGAGGUGAAAUCCUGGAGCUCAACUCCAGAACUGCCUUUAAUACUGCCAGUCUAGAGUCCAGAAGAGGUGAGUGGAACUCCUAGUGUAGAGGUGGAAUUCGUAGAUAUUAGGAAGAACACCAGUGGCGAAGGCGGCUCACUGGUCUGGUACUGACGCUGAGGUGCGAAAGCGUGGGGAGCAAACAGGAUUAGAUACCCCGGUAGUCC